rnacentral:tRNA from 1 species
GCCUCCUUAGCUCAGAUGGCCAGAGCACCGCACUUGUAAUGCGUAGGUCGUCGGUUCGAAUCCGACAGGGGGCUCCG